rnacentral:rRNA from 1 species
GGAAAAGAAACUAACAAGGAUUCCCCUAGUAACGGCGAGUGAACCGGGAAGAGCUCAAAUUUGAAAUCUGGCGUGCUCAGUGCGUCCGAGUUGUAAUCUAUAGAGUCGUUUUCCGUGCCGGACUGUGUCCAAGUCCCUUGGAACAGGGUAUCAAAGAGGGUGAUAAUCCCGUACUUGACACAAUGACCGGUGCUCUGUGAUACGUCUUCUACGAGUCGAGUUGUUUGGGAAUGCAGCUCAAAAUGGGUGGUGAGUUCCAUCUAAAGCUAAAUAUUGGCGAGAGACCGAUAGCGAACAAGUACCGUGAGGGAAAGAUGAAAAGCACUUUGGAAAGAGAGUUAAACAGUACGUGAAAUUGUUAAAAGGGAAACGAUUGAAGUCAGUCGUGACUGAGAGGCUCAGCCGGUUCUGCCGGUGUAUUCCCCUCAGUCGGGUCAACAUCAGUUUUGUUCGGUGGAUAAGGGCAGUUGGAAGGUGGCACCCUCGGGUGUGUUAUAGCCAGCUGUCGCAUACAUCGGAUGAGACUGAGGAAUGCAGCUCGCCUUUAUGGCCGGG